GACGAACGCUGGCGGCGUGCUUAACACAUGCAAGUCGAACGGAAAGGCCCUGCUUUUGUGGGGUGCUCGAGUGGCGAACGGGUGAGUAACCAGUGAGUAACCUGCCCUUGACUUUGGGAUAACUUCAGGAAACUGGGGCUAAUACCGGAUAGGAGCUCCUGCUGCAUGGUGGGGGUUGGAAAGUUUCGGCGGUUGGGGAUGGACUCGCGGCUUAUCAGCUUGUUGGUGGGGUAGUGGCUUACCAAGGCUUUGACGGGUAGCCGGCCUGAGAGGGUGACCGGCCACAUUGGGACUGAGGUACGGCCCAGACGCCUACGGGAGGGAGCAGUGGGGAAUAUUGCACAAUGGGCGGAAGCCUGAUGCAGCAACGCCGCGUGCGGGAUGACGGCCUUCGGGUUGUAAACCGCGUUCGCCUGUUACGAAGCGGGAGUGACGGUAAUGGGUAAAGAAGCACCGGCUAACUACGUG
rnacentral:rRNA from 1 species